rnacentral:lncRNA from 1 species
CCCAGACGCUCGCUGAUUGGACAAGCGGAAAAUCAGUCACAGCAUGGCCCCGCCCCCUCCCUCCCAUUCAACCACUGGAUCUAAUGUAGCCCUAUGUUUACUACAGAAUUAGUGCAUAGCGGACGACAGUCUCCUGAACUGUGAACUCCGAAUCACAAAAGAUAACCUGUUAGUUUUGCAUAAAAGAAGAAAAAUAUCCCAAACUCAACAUGCCCAAGAGAAAGGGAACUGAUGGAGAAGUCAAGGAGGAGCCUCAGAGAAGGUCUGCUAGAUUAUCGGCGAAACCAACACCUCCAAAACCUGAACCCAAACCGAAAAAAACUCCCAAGAAAGAGAAGGAAGUGAAUGAUAAAAAGGAAGAAAAGAAAGCAAAGGCUGAGGAAUCCAAGGAGGAAAACCAAUCAGAAAAUGGGGAGACUAAGACCAAUGAGGUAUAUAUGUAUAAACACAACAGUCUACCUCAAAUCAGCAUCUAUCAUACAUAAACACACCUUACUUGUCCCACAGUGGACAUAAUAAAUCAUGUCAGGUCAUGAUAUUUGUUUGUGUAUUGAGUUUCCUUUCCAAAUACUUUCCCAAAAAUGUUCUAAUAACAUUGCAAAAGUACUUAGUAACAUAGUUAAAUUAAUUCCCCAGAUUUCAAAACAAAGACAUCGAUAGCUUAAGCUAAGGAGAGUUUUCUAAACUUUACCUCCUUAAGAUUCGAAUUAGUGCAGAGGCAGUCCUGCUUGAUUCUUGUUGAUGUUGUUUUAUUAAACAGGUUGAAAAAACUCCAGACGAGGCGGCGGAGCCCGAGAAGGAGGACCCGAAGACAGAGUAGCACCACGCCUGUCCAUCCAUCCGUCCAUCUUUUCCCUUUCCCCCCCUUUCCUUUCUUUUAUCUUCCUCUCUCUUUCCCAGUUUUCUCUCUCCCUUUCCAGUUCUCUCAACAACCUCCUCUCUGCCCAUCACCACCAGAGGAAUAUUUUUAUCAGCGAAUUUGUAAAUACUGGUUCAGGUUUUUAGCACAAAAACAAAGCUGACUAAAACGAGUCUUGUGUUCGGCCGCAGCUGUAUCAGGUGUCUACAACACGACAGGUGUGAAAAAGGCGGCAUCUUUCUAUAAUUUUGUUGAUUUUCUAUUUUGAUUUCUUUUUUUUAAGCGGCUGGUCUGUAGCUUGGUUUUUGGAGUGGGAGGAGGCUCUCAGUCUGUAUGUCCGUUAGUGCUCGUGAUGUUUCUGUAUGGGGUUUGUUUUUAUUUUUAUUUUAAACGUAAUCGAUUGUCUUUAAGAAAGAGGGAUGAGUUAAACAAAUAUAGAAGAAAAGAGAGAAAACAACUAAAGACAAACUGCUUGCAUUCCAGGUUCAGCAUUAGAUGGUGACUCCUGGCUUUUUAAGAAUCAUACCACCUCUGCAAUUUGUUGAAACAGAAAACUGGGCUUUGUUAGGAGGCCAGAAAAACCCUUCUGUUGUUAUAGAGGACUUUUUUGAAAUUACAGGAUUCAAAGAAAAAGAAUUUAAAGCGCUUUUGGAAUUUUUUUAACACUGAAAAUUCAUCUGUGAAAAAGUACUUUGUGUCCCCUCACUCAAUAAAAAUCCAUCAUUGGAGUUUUCCUCAAAAUGUCUGCUGUGGUCUUUUACACUGAUUAUAUGUUAUACACUGGGUAUUAUAUACUUGUUUCUAAGCAUAUAUUGUUCUGUAAUCAGUUAUUAUCUUUCAAUAAGUGGUUGGUGCAAUAAUAUAACUCAUAGUGGAUUUCACCAUUGGUUUACGCUGCAUUUCAAUCAUAAGAAAUGAU